rnacentral:rRNA from 1 species
CCUACGGGGGGCAGCAGUAGGGAAUCUUCGGCAAUGGACGAAAGUCUGACCGAGCAACGCCGCGUGAGUGAAGAAGGUUUUCGGAUCGUAAAACUCUGUUGUUAGAGAAGAACAAGGAUGAGAGUAACUGUUCAUCCCUUGACGGUAUCUAACCAGAAAGCCACGGCUAACUACGUGCCAGCAGCCGCGGUAAUACGUAGGUGGCAAGCGUUGUCCGGAUUUAUUGGGCGUAAAGCGAGCGCAGGCGGUUUCUUAAGUCUGAUGUGAAAGCCCCCGGCUCAACCGGGGAGGGUCAUUGGAAACUGGGAGACUUGAGUGCAGAAGAGGAGAGUGGAAUUCCAUGUGUAGCGGUGAAAUGCGUAGAUAUAUGGAGGAACACCAGUGGCGAAGGCGGCUCUCUGGUCUGUAACUGACGCUGAGGCUCGAAAGCGUGGGGAGCAAACAGGAUUAGAUACCCGGGUAGUC